UCCCACAGGUAGCUCAGUUGGUAGAGCAUGAGACUCUUGAUGUCAGGGCUGUGAGCUUGAGUCCCACGUUGGGCA